rnacentral:lncRNA from 1 species
AGGAAGAUGGAUUUGGGGCAGUUCUAUUAGGCCCAGACUUGGAGUCUUUGAUUGAGAAGCCCAUCACACUUGCUCAUCAGUGAAGCCCAUCACAUCUUGUUCGUGUUUGGAUUCUUGCUCAUCAGUGAAGCCCAUCAAUCACACUUGCUCAUCAGUGAAGCCCAUCACAUCUUGUUCGUGUUUGGAUUGAAGUAGAUCAUAUGUGUGAUUACUUUAUUUUAGAAAUAAAGAACUAAAGAAAUUAAAUUGGUAUUGAAUCUUGUCGACCAUCUCCAUUCAGAAACGAAUUUUUCAAUUUUUAAUAAAAAAUGUAUCAUUACACCAACAAAUUUAACAAUUAACUCAUUUAAUUAUUUCUAACUACCUCAAAUUUUGUAUAAAUAAAUCACAAAAUGCUUAUUCAA